GGUCUCCUCUUUACGACGAUCGUGACACUGCAAUAUUAAGCUGAUCUACCACCUAAAAUAUAUAUUCUUUAAUAAUCUGGUCAGACAAGAUUAAUGAUAGGAAUGCAGUCAUCCCUCCAUUUCCUUACCACGCAGGGAGGAGGAGCUCUACCUAAACAGGACAUGAGAGUAGAUAGCUUCAAACGACUUCACUGACAUUGACCUUAAAGAUUAAGAAGAAAACAGACAGGAUAAUUGGCACUUAUCAGAAUGGUUGUUACACUGCACUCAUUGCUCUUCUGUUUAUCCUUCACACUGUAAAUGGACAGACUACUACAGGUAGGUAGAGCACACACACAUACCGUAGAUUAACCUUUUCUUACAUAACAAUUUAGUCAAGGACUUCAAUACAAAAUGUCAUGUUAACAUUUUAGCCUUGUACUGUACACUGGUUAUCCCAUAUCUACGUGAGAAUAAAACAUUCCUAAACAGUACUGUUGAUAAUAAAUACGACACAAAUAAAUUGAAUAGGCUUUCCAGUCCAUUUAUAUAUUGUUUUGCAAAACCUUUCUCAACUCUUCUGCAUGAAUGACUCCAAUUUGUCUUGCUGUUUGUCCUCUGAGAACAGCAACUCCACCAUCGAGCACUACUGAUCCACCAUUGAGCUCAGCAGCCCCACAGUCAAGUGGGACUCGUGUCCAACAAACGAGGUCAAAUGAUCCACUGUCAAGCUCAACAGCCACUUCAUCCUCAACAACUUCACCAUCAGAUACAACAGCUUCAUCAGUUGGUAUAACACCCUCGUCAACACCCUCACUGAUUGGUGCCUCAUUUCCAGUGUCAAUCACAGACAACCCUACAUCUAUUGCAACAACUAAAGCAUCAAGUUUGACACCUCAACAGCCAAAUGCAACAGCUCUGCCAUCAAAUGUAACAAAUCCAUCUACCAAUACAAGCUCUCAGAGUGCAUGGACAACUCUGGCCACUACAGGCGGGUCAUUCAAUACCACUCAAUAUCACUUUGGCAAUUUGUCGACACCAUUUCCUGGGAUUAGUGGAACUAGCCCAGUUCCUCUGGUGGCUCCAUUCUCAAGGAGAUGUUCUUCAAAUCCACCUCUGUGUUGUCUUGGGCUCAACAAUUCCUGUUUCAGAGGGUGCUUCUGUGAUGUGGCCUGUAUAAGGUUGAAAGAUUGCUGCCCAGACUUCCGGACUACUUGUGUGACAGGUGUGCAGAUUGGAUCAGCCACGGUGUCCCCAGUCUCCAACGCAACCAAUUCCACUUCCACAUCAUUCCCAGUGUUCUCAUUUCCAGGAAAUUGUGCUGUAAAGGCACCAAUGUGAAUUGCUUCAGAGGGUCCUUCUGUGACGAGGUUUGUCAGACUCUAAAUGACUGCUGUCCUGACUAUGCAGAUACCUGCACAAAAGACAUUCAGAAGGUGAUUGGUAGUGGAAAGAUAUCCAUUCUUGCUCCACCCAAUUCAACUGAUGCGUCUCUUGAAGUGUCUAUUCAGAAUGUCUGCAGCUGAACACUGAAAUCAGCUCCUUCAGAAUCAUCAAACUUAAGAAGACCAAACUUAAUUUGUAAAUCUGCUCAAACACAUCAGAAAUAUGUAAUUAGGUUGCAUUUUUCUUUCUCUCUGUUUGAUGAAACUAAACAUAAUUGAAUAUAUUACAACGUAAAGCACUUGUUAUAGAUACUUCUAAUGUAUAUCUGGUUUGACGGGUACUAUGUGGGAAAACAAUAAUAUGUUAAAUGUAUUGGUCGCAUACACAUAUUUAGCAGAUGUUAUUGUGGGUGUAGUGAAAUGCUUGUGUACAGAGAAAUGCUUUGCAUGGCUGUCUGUGGAUGAGAUGUGUCUUUAAUGUAAUUUCUCAAAUAAAUUGUCAGACUUAUUGGACUAAACAUUGAACAUGAAAUGAAUCAUACAAUACUGUUCCUCCCUGAACAAGCAGGAAGUUGCCAGUAGAGGUCAUAGUAACACAGUUUUCCAUUGCAUGAUGCUUUCCUUGCCUUUCUCCUGUAUAGAAUAAACCACCUUUCUUGA